rnacentral:rRNA from 1 species
GAUGAACGCUAGCGGCAGGCUUAACACAUGCAAGUCGAGGGGCAGCAUAAAUAGUAGCAAUACUAUUGGUGGCGACCGGCGGACGGGUGCGUAACGCGUAUACAACCUUCCCUAAACAGGGGGAUAAUCUGGAGAAAUUCGGUCUAAUACCCCAUAACAUCAGAGCAGGCAUCUGUUUUGGUUAAAAUUUCCGGAGGUUUAGGAUGGGUAUGCGUAGCAUUAGCUAGUUGGUGAGGUAACGGCUCACCAAGGCGACGAUGCUUAGGGGGACUGAGAGGUUAACCCCCCACACUGGUACUGAGACACGGACCAGACUCCUACGGGAGGCAGCAGUGAGGAAUAUUGGUCAAUGGGCGGAAGCCUGAACCAGCCAUGCCGCGUGCAGGAUGACGGCUCUAUGAGUUGUAAACUGCUUUUGUACGAGGGUAAGUGAGCUACGUGUAACCUUUUGAAAGUAUCGUACGAAUAAGGAUCGGCUAACUCCGUGCCAGCCGCCGCAGUAA